AGUGGUGCCGUUCAUCACCUGCGCCAACCGAAACUGUCCGUCCAACACCCGCUGUCAGAUGAUCGGACUGGAGGCGGUCUGUAAAGCCCUGUAGCAAGAAAAAAAUAUUUUUUGGAAAACACUACAAAAUGGCAGGAGGACGCUCCAUGCAGUCACGCAACAACAGCUAGCCCAGCGACCCCAACAAGAUGCUUCCUCGUCCAGCCCAUUCCGCCAGAGAAUGGAAUGUGUUCCGGAGCUGCCGGCUUCUGAGGUUCGGCCUCCAGCUGACAGCUGAUUGAUGUGAUUGAGGGCAUUAAUAGAUGAUCACCGUCAACGGUCA